rnacentral:tRNA from 7 species
GGGGAUAUAGCUCAGUUGGGAGAGCGCGGCGUUCGCAAUGCCGAGGCCGAGGGUUCGAGUCCCUCUAUCUCCACCA